rnacentral:rRNA from 1 species
GCUUACGGCCACACCGCCUGGUUCACGCCGAUCUCGUUUGAUCUCGGAAGCUAAGGUAGGUUGGGCCUGGUUAGUACUUGGAUGGGAGACCGCCUGGGUCCAGGUGCUGUAAGCU